rnacentral:tRNA from 31 species
GGGAGUAUAACUUAAUUGGUAGAGUAGCAGACUUUUAAUCUGUUUUGUUUGGGUUCAAUUCCCAAUAUUCUCA